rnacentral:rRNA from 1 species
UACGUAGGGGGCAAGCGUUGUCCGGAAUCAUUGGGCGUAAAGAGCGUGUAGGCGGCCAGAAAAGUCCGCUGUGAAAACUCGAGGCUCAACUUCGAGCUGUCGGUGGAAACUUUCUGGCUAGAGUCCGGAAGAGGAGAAUGGAAUUCCUGGUGUAGCGGUGAAAUGCGCAGAUAUCAGGAAGAACACCCGUGGCGAAGGCGGUUCUCUGGGACGGUACUGACGCUGAGGCGCGAAAGCCAGGGGAGCGAACGGG